rnacentral:rRNA from 1 species
GACGAACCGUGCGAACGUUUAUUCGGAAUCACUGGGCUUAAAGCGCGUGUAGGCGGGCCGGCACGUCGGUCGCUGAAAUCCCCCGGCUCAACCGGGGAAGGGCGCCGAUACGACCGGCCUGGAGGGGCGUAGGGGGACCGGGAACUUCCGGUGGAGCGGUGAAAUGCGUUGAGAUCGGAAGGAACGCCCGUGGCGAAAGCGCGGUCCUGGACGCCUGCUGACGCUGAGACGCGAAAGCCAGGGAGCGAACGGG